UGAUCCUGGCUCAGAGUGAACGCUGGCGGCAGGCCUAACACAUGCAAGUCGAACGGCAGCACAGAGGAGCUUGCUCCUUGGGUGGCGAGUGGCGGACGGGUGAGGAAUACGUCGGAAUCUGCCUAUUUGUGGGGGAUAACGUAGGGAAACUUACGCUAAUACCGCAUACGACCUACGGGUGAAAGCGGAGGACCUUCGGGCUUCGCGCAGAUAGAUGAGCCGACGUCGGAUUAGCUAGUUGGCGGGGUAAAGGCCCACCAAGGCGACGAUCCGUAGCUGGUCUGAGAGGAUGAUCAGCCACACUGGAACUGAGACACGGUCCAGACUCCUACGGGAGGCAGCAGUGGGGAAUAUUGGACAAUGGGCGCAAGCCUGAUCCAGCCAUGCCGCGUGUGUGAAGAAGGCCUUCGGGUUGUAAAGCACUUUUGUCCGGAAAGAAAAGCUUCGGGUUAAUACCCCGGGGUCCUGACGGUACCGGAAGAAUAAGCACCGGCUAACUUCGUGCCAGCAGCCGCGGUAAU
rnacentral:rRNA from 1 species